UAAGGGAGAGUAAUACGUAGGUAUCUACCCAUGGGUCUGGGAUAGCGGCGGGAAACUGCCGGUAAUACCAGAUAACGUCUCCGGACCAAAGGUGUGAUUCCACCUGUGGAGGAGCCUACGGCCUAUUAGCUAGUUGGCAGGGUAACGGCCUACCAAGGCUUGGAUGGGUACGGGGUGUGAGAGCAUGCCCCCGCUCACUGGGACUGAGACACUGCCCAGACACCUACGGGUGGCUGCAGUCGAGAAUCUUCGGCAAUGGGCGCAAGCCUGACCGAGCGACGCCGCGUGCGGGAUGAAGGCCUUCGGGUUGUAAACCGCUGUCGUAGGGGAUGAAACGUAGGUGAGUUAUCUCAUCUAUUUGACUGAACCUAGGAGGAAGGGCCGGCUAAUCUCGUGCCAGCAGCCGCGGUAAUACGAGAGGCCCAAACGUUAUUCGGAUUUACUGGGCUUAAAGAGUUCGUAGGCGGCACGGAAAGUGGGGUGUGAAAUCCCUCGGCUUAACCGAGGAACUGCGCUCCAAACUAUCGUGCUAGAGGGGGAUAGAGGUAAGCGGAACUGAUGGUGGAGCGGUGAAAUGCGUUGAUAUCAUCAGGAACACCGGAGGCGAAGGCGGCUUACUGGGUCCUUUCUGACGCUGAGGAACGAAAGCUAGGGGAGCAAACGGGAUUAGAUACCCCGGUAGUCCUAGCCGUAAACGGUGAGCACUGGACCGGAGCUCUGCACAGGGUUUCGGUCGUAGCGAAAGUGUUAAGUGCUCGCCUGGGGAGUAUGGUCGCAAGGCUGAAACUCAAGGAAUUGACGGGGCUCACACAGCGUGG
rnacentral:rRNA from 1 species